rnacentral:rRNA from 1 species
UACGUAGGGUGCGAGCGUUGUCCGGAAUUAUUGGGCGUAAAGAGCUCGUAGGCGGUGUGUCGCGUCGGCCGUGAAAACCUGCAGCUUAACUGUGGGCUUGCGGUCGAUACGGGCAUCACUGGAGUUCGGCAGGGGAGACUGGAAUUCCUGGUGUAGCGGUGAAAUGCGCAGAUAUCAGGAGGAACACCGGUGGCGAAGGCGGGUCUCUGGGCCGAUACUGACGCUAAGGAGCGAAAGCGUGGGGAGCGAACAGG